rnacentral:rRNA from 1 species
GAUGAACGCUAGCGGCAGGCUUAAUACAUGCAAGUCGUGGGGCAGCAGGACUGUAGCAAUACAGUUGCUGGCGACCGGCAAACGGGUGCGGAACACGUACGCAACUUACCCUGAACUGGGGGAUAGCCCGGGGAAACCCGGAUUAAUACCCCGUAAUAUAAUGGAGUGGCAUCACUUUAUUAUUAAAGCUCCGGCGGUUCGGGAGGGGCGUGCGGCUGAUUAGGUAGUUGGGUGAGGUAACGGCUCACCAAGCCUACGAUCAGUAACUGGUGUGAGAGCACGCCCAGUCACACGGGCACUGAGACACGGGCCCGACUCCUACGGACCGCAGCAGUAUGGAAUAUUGGGCAGUGGAGGCAACUCUGACCCCGCCAUGCCGCGUGGAGGAUGCUGGCCCUCUGGGUUGUAAUCUUCUUUUAUAGGGGACGAACCCUGUGUCGUCUUACGCAGUUGACGGUACCCUAGGAAUAAGCACCGGCUAACUCCGUG